AGAGAACACAUUUUUUUCCUUUUGUAUUAGCUAUCAAGAUGGGAAAGUUCUGCUGCCGCUACGGGUGGUUCAAUUUGUAAAGUGUGUUUUCUAUAUUUCGAUGAAAGGUAUCGAAAGCUUCCUUCUCAAAGGCUUCCAUAAAUAUUUUGCGAUGGCUGCUGAUAGUGGAGAGCCCAUGGAUGUUUCCCCGACGUUUGUUCAAAACUAUAAGAAAAAUAUGUUCCAGACAAGCAUUUUUCAAUUAAGAGUUUCAGGAAUAGGAACUUUGGGAAAGAGGGAUUCUAUGCGAGCCAGUUUCAGUCAAGCUCUAAAGAACUCAACAGGAUGAUUGGUGAAACGUCAGCAAAUUCGACUCAGCAAAAACCGACGCCGAAGCAAUCCAGAACUUUUGUAAAAAGUAUUACAGUAGCCUGUGGAAGUUUCUUUGAAAAAUUUUCAUACACAGGUUUCACAGGUUUUGGGUUAUUAAAUGCAAUCAAACUACUGUGUACUGUAGUUAUUUGAUUUCUGAUUUAUAUGACAUAGGAAUUUAUAUCAAAACUUGUAGUUUUGGGUUUAGUGAAAAAACUCUGUGUUUGGCCUUUGCAUGUUAACUGAAUUUAAUUUAAUUUACACAAAUACAAAAACUGCUGUUGUUGUUUGACUGUUUUCUAACAUGCUUUCUGAUAUACUGAUUUUUAAAAAUCAUUUUAAAACUUUUUUCUGUGGAUAGCAACAGCUCAAAAGAAUUAUAUUUUAGCAAAAAUUGUACGCUAUAAAUAUGUUAAUGCUUUUUUUUCUUUGUCGUUGUCUUUAAUAAA